GCCUGGGUGGCUCAGUCGGUUGAGCGUCCGACUUCGGCUCAGGUCACGAUCUCACGGUUUGUGGGUUCGAGCCCCGCGUCAGGCU
rnacentral:tRNA from 1 species